UGUGAAGAGAUAAUCAUGGUGGACAGCCU
rnacentral:piRNA from 1 species